rnacentral:rRNA from 1 species
AUUGAACGCUGGCGGCAGGCCUAACACAUGCAAGUCGAGCGGAGCGGCGGACGGGUGGGUAAUGAAUAGGAAUCUGCCUGGUUGUGGGGGGGAACGACCGGAAACGGGCGCUAAUAAUGCCUCCUAUUAGAUGAGCCUAGGUAGGAUUAGCCAGAUGGUGGGGUAAAGGCCCACUAAGGCGACGAGCCGUAACUGGUCUGAGUGGAUGAUCAGUCACACUGGAACGGGGACACGGUCCAGACUCCUACGGGAGGCAGCAGUGGGGAAUAUUGGACAAUGGGCGAAAGCCUGAUGCAGCCAUGCCGCGUGUGGGAAGAAGGUCUUCGGGUUGUAAAGCACUUUAAGUGGGGAGGCGUUACCAGCAGAAGAAGCACCGGCUAACUCCGUGCCAGCAGCCGCGGUAAUAC